CCUCAGCUAGCUUAGUCGGUAGAGCAUGAGACUCUUAAUCUCAGGGUCGUGGGUACGAGCCCCACGAUGGGUG
rnacentral:tRNA from 1 species